GCCGCCAUGAUGCGACACCUCCCCUCCCGCCCCCUCCAAGGGUCACGUGAUCUCCCGGCCACGGGGACCAUAGAGAGAAGGGGCCAGAGCGCCUCGCUCCGACCAUGGAGUUCUGCGCAGCGUCCCGCAGCCCUCGUGCGCCCCCAGGCGGGUAGGCUGCCCGCCCCGCCCACUGCCCACACCGGCGACGCGCGGCGGCGGAGGCGGGGCGCGCGCGGCUCCGCCCUCUCGCGAGAUCUCGGCCGCUAUAUCCGGUGCCCGCGCAUCACCCCUCCCCUUUUCCCGCCCGCCUGCCGCCAGGCCGUCGCGCGCUCCAUCCGCCGCCAUCCGCCCCCGGCGCCGCCGCCAUGCCGCCCAAGUUCGACCCCAACGAGAUCAAAGUCGUCCCCCAAGAAGGUUGGUGAUGACAUUGCCAAGGCCACGGGUGACUGGAAGGGGCUGAGGAUCACGGUGAAGCUCACCAUCCAGAACAGAUAAAUUGUUCCUUCUACAGAACAUCUGACCAGGAACAAACUAUUACAAGCAAUAGAGAAAUUAGAAAAAAACUCCUUAGCUAAUCCUGUAGCCACCUGCCACUAUACCUGUCCUGAAUUCCGUGGCUGGUAUAUUCCAGUGGUGAGCUGAGAGGAAGCCCCAGUCCAGGAAGCAGUCCUCUUCUGGUUGUGGGGAGGCCUGUGCCGAAAGGCUGGGAACAGGUUUCUGCAUCACAAAAAAGCCUUGUGAACUAACUGAAAACACAGUGCUCUGAUAGAGGUUGUUCCUUCUGCCUCUGCUCUGAUUAUCAAAGCUCUGAAGGAGCCUCCUCGUGACAGGAAGAAGCA